UACAGAGGUCCCAAGCGUUGUUCGGAUUCAUUGGGCGUAAAGGGUGCGUAGGCGGUGCCGUAAGUCGGGUGUGAAAUCCCGGGGCUCAACCCCGGAACUGCACUCGAUACUGCGGUGCUCGAGGACCGGAGAGGAGACUGGAAUUCACGGUGUAGCAGUGAAAUGCGUAGAUAUCGUGAGGAAGGCCAGUGGCGAAGGCGGGUCUCUGGACAGUUCCUGACGCUGAGGCACGAAGGCUGGGGGAGCAAACGGG
rnacentral:rRNA from 1 species